GAACUUGAAUCAUGCUGUCUACUUUAUACCCGUGCAUUACCUUUACCACAAGAUCAGAAGAGAUGCAGAAGCCAUCAGUCCAAGCCAAGGGAAGUGUCAAUCCAUUUGAGAGAUCUGAUGAGAAGGAAGGAGAAUGGUUAGAAGUCCAGUAAACACAUCAGAACUGGGGAUAUAUGUGUGAACUAUGAGGAGGGACAAGUUGAAUUUUAUUGCCAUGAACGACAGCACACAAGCAGAAUUGCAACAGCACAACUAAGAUGAUCCUCCACACUGUAAACUCAAGUCCACUCUUGCUUACUUUUCACAUAAAGAAAAUACCUACUGUUUCCAU